rnacentral:rRNA from 1 species
UGAGUAAUGUCUGGGAAGCUGCCUGAUGGAGGGGGAUAACUACUGGAAACGGUAGCUAAUACCGCAUAACGUCGCAAGACCAAAGAGGGGGACCUUCGGGCCUCCUGCCAUCAGAUGUGCCCAGAUGGGAUUAGCUAGUAGGUGGGGUAAUGGCUCACCUAGGCGACGAUCCCUAGCUGGUCUGAGAGGAUGACCAGCCACACUGGAACUGAGACACGGUCCAGACUCCUACGGGAGGCAGCAGUGGGGAAUAUUGCACAAUGGGCGCAAGCCUGAUGCAGCCAUGCCGCGUGUGUGAAGAAGGCCUUCGGGUUGUAAAGCACUUUCAGCGAGGAGGAAGGUGGUGAGCUUAAUACGCUCAUCAAUUGACGUUACUCGCAGAAGAAGCACCGGCUAACUCCGUGCCAGCAGCCGCGGUAAUACGGAGGGUGCAAGCGUUAAUCGGAAUUACUGGGCGUAAAGCGCACGCAGGCGGUUUGUUAAGUCAGAUGUGAAAUCCCCGGG